GAGCACUGAUCCAAACCACUGUGGGGGCAGAUGUGGAGUUUCCACUCUCAGAGGAGUGCAGGAAGGGAGAGGGCACACUGUAUCAGCGGCUGGAUGAUGCCAGCACUCAGCUCAUCGCAUCUCUAAAUGGUUACUGGAAGCCAGGACGAGAUUACACUGACCGCGUGGUCGUAGGACGCGAUUCGUUAAUCUUAACAAAUGCUAACUUCAAUGACAACGGACAUUAUGAGUUUACCUGCAACAGGAAACACUUGGAAGCUUACAAGCUGGAGGUAUUUGUGCCCUCUGAAGUUGCUGUAUCCCAGGGUGGGGAUGCCAUCCUCCCGUGUCGCUCCGUCACAGCGGGCCAGUCGGUGAAGUCUGCGCGCUGGAGGAGAAACGGGGAAGUACUGCUGGAGCUGAAUGGUCGGACAGGGGAAAUCACAUACGGGGAUGACUUUAACAGAAGCCGGGUAUCGAUACCAUCUGACUGGGACCGACGGGCAGACCUGUCCCUCACCAUAAAGGGAGCUCAGCAACAAGAUGGAGGAGUUUAUUACUGCGACAUAGAGAAGGCCGAGAAACACCGCUCUGCUGUCCGCCUGCGAGUGCGCAAACCACCGGAGUCCUACCACUGGAUAUGGAUCACAAUCAUCAUAACAGCAGCUGUGACAUCUGUGAUUGUUUUUACUCUCAAGUUCUUUUGGGGCUGGAGAGAGAAGACCAAGGGUGUACAUGCAUGAAGAGAGCAGAGGAGACAGUGUCCGAAACAGUCCACUAAAUGACCAAUCAUUUAUAAUCAGGAGAAAAGCACAUCUCUAAAAAUUGCCCUGCCAAGCCUUCUGAUGUUAUACUGCCUAUAAAAAUGAAUAGAAAUAGCUUUUUGUAGUGCAUUACUUUUAGUACCAAAGUCCAAACCUUUAUUUCACUGUGUAAUGAAAGUCUUCAUGGCAAAAUAAACAGCAGAUAUCUGCACACUGGUAACUUACAGUGUAAAGAUAAAAUACACACAUACAGAGAUUUCUUUCUGACUUUUGACUUGCUG
ensembl:lncRNA